rnacentral:rRNA from 1 species
AUCAGGGGUAAACCUGUGGAACUCGAACGAACGAACGGGGAGGUUCACCGUAUUUCCGUCGGUCCGCGGCGCGACGCGCCGCGCCCCGUCGGAACGUUCGCGCGUAAGCUCGAGCGUUUCGCGGGCGCGGCACGCGUCGCGUCGUCGCACGGCCCGCGGAGUGCGUGCACUUCUCCCUUAGUAAAACACCGCGACCCGUUCGCACGAGUGUGCGUGUGCGAUCUAACGCGUCGUGCGGUUGUCCCGUUUCGAACGUAAAAAAUUCGGGACGGAGCCGCGACGUUUCGCGAUCGCCGUCGGACGGUAAAGCACGAGGUUCGCGUUCGCCGCGUAUUGUGGUGGUGCGGCGUGCGGCUCCCUUCGCGGGGUGUCGCGCGUCGCCGCGCAGGCGUCCGUGACGCGUACCGAACGGACCGCGUUCGGACCCCGGCGUUUCUAGCGUCGCGGGCUUCGAGCGUGCGUUUCGGCGCGCGCGCGUCGUUCGCGUCACGCGUCCGUUCGUUGUGUAUGGCGCGUCGUCUCGGACGGAACGUGUCCCGGUCCGCGGUGGUUUUGUUUCGGGCACUCACAGGACCCG